rnacentral:rRNA from 1 species
AGCGAACGCUGGCGGCAGGCUUAACACAUGCAAGUCGAACGGGCUUCUUCGGAAGUCAGUGGCAGACGGGUGAGUAACACGUGGGAACGUGCCCUUCGGUUCGGAAUAACUCAGGGAAACUUGAGCUAAUACCGGAUACGCCCUUUUGGGGAAAGGUUUACUGCCGAAGGAUCGGCCCGCGUCUGAUUAGCUUGUUGGUGGGGUAACGGCCUACCAAGGCGACGAUCAGUAGCUGGUCUGAGAGGAUGAUCAGCCACACUGGGACUGAGACACGGCCCAGACUCCUACGGGAAGCAGCAGUGGGGAAUAUUGGACAAUGGGCGCAAGCCUGAUCCAGCCAUGCCGCGUGAGUGAUGAAGGCCUUAGGGUUGUAAAGCUCUUUUGUCCGGGACGAUAAUGACGGUACCGGAAGAAUAAGCCCCGGCUAACUUCGUG